GGAAUUAAGAUGACCUGGCUGCAAUAUCUAGCCCUUGGUGGUCAGGGCUGAUUUGGGUGACCUUUGGUCUAAGUAGGCAUCACUUUUUUUCUUCACCAUUACAUGUACAUCCUUUCUGAAGCUGUUGUGGACUAGUGGGAGGGAAUAAAUCCCUCAUAUAGGUGGAACCUUUUAAAGUCAUAAAAACCUGGAGUAGCUGCCUUCUCCUGCUAGAGCCUCCAAACAAGCUCUUGAGACGAUAGUAAGGGCCAGGGAGAUGGGUUCAGGAGUAAGAACAUUUUCUGAGUUAGUGUGAAGACAUAUGAGUUUCG
rnacentral:snRNA from 1 species